UAUCGGAAAAUGAGCUGAGUUUUCAGACUACUACCCUCCAGCGAGUCAAUUUUAGAGACACUGUCCAUAUCCAGUGUCAUCGUUUCCUGAGUCAAUAAAGAAGCCAACACUCAAGGUGGAAUAAUUGGGGUAAUUGGUGCUGGUAGGCCACUCUGUAAGGAAUUUCUCAGAAACCCUCAUGAGAUGUUCUCCAGGAGGCUGCACCAGAGGGAAUGAGGCCUUGUAUUUCUGCCAUCCUGCUGUAUCCACUGUGGUGGAGUUUAGUCCAGUACAGAGUUUAAAAAACAAGUAUGAAGGUAACCCAGAUCCGGUGGGGGCAUCGCGGAUUCUGAAGAAUCAAGAGAUCCUGGUUACAAUUUCAAACCAAACCUCCAAUGAAGAUAGAUAUUUUGAAGUGAAAAUGCUUCUAAACUCCUCCUCUUCCUCUUCUCAAUCCAGCUCCUGCUUCAGCUGGAGAAACUUCCUGAGGGCUUCCAGGUCAUGUUUGCAGCCUGAGGUGGAGUGA
rnacentral:lncRNA from 1 species